rnacentral:antisense_RNA from 1 species
CUUCAGCGAGCCCAGCCACAGCGGCUCGCCCUCACCACGCUCCUGACCGUACGUGGCCAGCAACGCCUGUGCCUC